UCCCUUACCUCUGAUUCCUCUCCGUCUCUUACCUCUGCUCCGGCUAGCCGUCGAUCAACCCCUGAACUCCGAAGGGUGUGACACCGAUGCGAGCGGAAGCUGCUUCCAUGGACGCGAAUCUACAUACUCUUCUCCCCCGACAACCGGAACGGUGAGCUGCAACCAUGGACAGCAGGAGAUUCGAUGUUAAGGGUAGCUGCAACCGGUGUUCAUGGGAGCUGCGACCCAGGCGCGAGCUGCAACCAUGGAUGGUGGGGAGCUGCAACCGGCAUCCGGAGGAGCUACAACCGGUGUUCGGGGGAGCUGCAAACGGUGAACGGCGUCAUGCUGUGGGCUAGGACGGCGAUGCAACCAUAGAAACAGUGAGUUCUUUUUUUGCUACCACCGGCAAGAUGAGGUGUUACCACGGGGCAAGGCUAGGUCCUGGUAUGACGGUGGCAAGGGGGAGAUGCUGCAGAACGGCGCAUUUUUUGACUGUUCUUUUUUCUCGGAACAUGUCAUUUUGCUGGAACUAUGUCAUUUUUUUGCUGGAACCAUGUUUUUGCUGGCAACGGCACAAGCCAGGCGAGGACGAGAUGUCAGCGAUGGUGCGACGGCAGCGCGUGAGAUGGAUGCGGCGAGCGACUGGAGGUGGGUCGACGUGCUACUGGGGGGAGGGGAGGGGCAUGUGCACGCGCAGGAGGAUGAUGAGUAAGAGGAGCGCAGCGGGGGAAGAAGAUGACCCGAAGGAUAAGAAUCAAGUGGCUGAGAGGGGGCCAAUCCGACGGCUAAUGCACGACCGGCCGAAACUUUGGGCCGGCGCGCCAGCGCCUAGUACCGCCCUUUAUGUUUCUGACAGAGGCACGGCACUACAGGUAAAUGGGCCGUGUCAUGGCGGCCCGCGUGCCUCUUCCAGGCCCAGGCAUGGCACUACUGUAAAUGGGUCGGCCCGCAGGUUUAGCCCGUGUGGCAGGAUGCUUGUAGGCCUUAUAGGCUGGUUUUCGGCCAUUUUUAUCUGUUGGACUGUCUUUGGGAACAUAUAUAUGUAAGUCAAAAAUAAAUAUAAAAAGA